UGGCGGACGGGUGAGUAAUGUCUGGGAAACUGCCUGAUGGAGGGGGAUAACUACUGGAAACGGUAGCUAAUACCGCAUAAUGUCGCAAGACCAAAGAGGGGGACCUUCGGGCCUCUUGCCAUCGGAUGUGCCCAGAUGGGAUUAGCUUGUUGGUGGGGUAACGGCUCACCAAGGCGACGAUCCCUAGCUGGUCUGAGAGGAUGACCAGCCACACUGGAACUGAGACACGGUCCAGACUCCUACGGGAGGCAGCCAUG
rnacentral:rRNA from 1 species